AUGUUGGAAGACCAGAGUCAGUCUGGUGGAAGUCCUCCAAUCGUCCAUAUGGCUGGCUGCGUUUUUCUACCACCAGAAACAUCGGGAAGAUUGCCCAUUAUUAAGGACCCAGAAAACAGAUGCAGUUGGAGAAGCUAUUCAAAUACAGAGAGCUGUGAAACCCUGUCUACAGAUGAAGAGAAAGGUCCCAAUGAAUGUCCCAAUAGAAUAAGGGUACAUCUUUAGCAAAUGUUUUUAACAAAAAUACAAUUAAUAGACAAUGUAUAAGCCUAUUACAACUGGAGUAGGCCAACCCUGCUGGGUGUGCAGGCUUCAGUUCUAGCCCAGCACUAACACACCUGAUUUGAUUUAUCCUACCUAAUUAGUUGAUAAUCAAGUGUGCUAUUGCUGGGUUGGAAAUGAAGUUUGCUCACCAGGUAGAUCAGGGAUCAGUGGAGCGAUGUUGGCUACCUCUGGCAUUGACUAGAGCUGUGUUCGAAUACCCAUACUAACAUACUGUAUACUUAAUGAGUAUAUACUACAUAAGUUUAUUUUAGUAUAAUGUAAAUGAACAGAAUGCUUUCAGUUGAGCGUACUAGCUCUUUGCCUGUACCGGAAGUAUAUGCUGUUGCUGUGCAACCUCUUGCUAGCUAGUUAGCAUAAAUCACUAGUUAGACAUUUUACGACUUCGGGUGUGUUCAUAAAUUCGAUGUGGAGUGCCAGAGUGAGCUCGUAAAGUUAAAUCAUUGUCCGUUUGUAAAUUCAGAGUGUUUCGCUCUCGGAGCACACACUGGACGAGUAGGGUUGAUUUGAGCGUUCUGACCUUACAACGGCACCCAAGCUAACGUUGGCUAUGAGACCACUCUGACCAUUUUACUCACCCUAGCAGAGUUGGUUAGGCAGUUUGUUAUCCAGAGCGUUGGUGACUAACUGUGCUGCUGGCAAAACUUUUAUGCCUUUUACAUAAAACCGGCCAAAUUCAACGGGUGUUGAACGCUCGUAAAUUCAUUAUUCUGCGCUCUGGUACACUCAGACGAGAAGAUAGCCAGAGAGAAUUUACGAAAGCACCCCAUUUUCUUCAAACGUGAAAACGAUGUGAAGCCACACCCAUUUCCUAAAUAAUUGCAUUAUGGGCCCUAAAGUACAGAAAUAUUGUCCUCUGCGUGUAUACUUCAUAUUUAGGCACAUUUAAAUACGACAUCAGGGAAUUCUUGGCAUACUAACUAUAAUCGAUACUAUGACCAAUAAGCAUACUAUAUACUCAAUUCAUGUCACAAAUAGUACAGUUAGUAUGCGUAUUCGAACACAGCUUUUGUUUACCUUAUGCUUCGUAUUAAUUGCCUACUUGUUACUGAGAUGUCGAACCUUUGAGUUAGCUUACUUGCACACUUUGAAAUUAUAUGUAAUAAAGUGUUGAUUCUUUGAAGGUAAGUGUAUUAUUAACUAUUAUUCAAGAUUAACUAGUCAAUGUUGAUUAAUAGUCAAAGAUCACAAUCCUGCAAUAAAGAGUGGAAGGAAUAUGUCUCAUGUGUUUGUGUUGUAUUCUCAAAUGAACAUUACCUUUUUGUUCAGUUGUAAGCUCUCCAAUUAGUUUUGUCACUCAGGAUGUCAGUCAUGCCCACUUCACAGCUGAUAAUGCCAUGCCACGCCACGCCAAUGCAGCAGUGGUUCCCAACUCCAGUCCUUGAGUCCCCUCAGCGGCAUACAUGUUAUAGCCCCAGACAAACAUACCCGAUUCAACUAAUUACUUGACAAGUUAAUUGGAGGGCCUGAUGAUUACUUGACAAGUUCAUUGGAGGCCCUGAUGAUUACUUGACAAGUUCAUUGGAGGCCCUGAUGAUUACUUGACAAGUUCAUUGGAGGGCCUGAUGAUUACUUGUCAAGUUCAUUGGAGGGCCUGGGGAUUACUUGACAAGUUCAUUGGAGGCCCUGAUGAUUACUUGACAAGUUCAUUGGAGGCCCUGAUGAUUACUUGACAAGUUGAAUCAGGCGUGCUUAUCCGGGGCUACAAUCAAAAUGUGUAGUGUUGGGGGUACUUGAAUACCAGAGUCGGGAACCACUGGCCUACAGUCUGACGGCAUUAGCCUUAUGGGCAUUUGCAAUGCACCCCAUGACAUUGUGCAUCUGAAGCAGAAAAUAGCUUACCUCACACAUUGUUUACAUAAUAAGUUGUUGAGCUAUAUGUUUUCAAUUAAAAAAACAAUACCAGUAGACAAUGUAUAUUAGGCUCAUCAUUAUACUAGAUCUUGUACAUUCCUUACACUGAUAUGAAAUUGUUUAGUGCAAAUCCAACCCCAGUGAAAUGUCAAAGCAGGAGAUUGGAUCCUUAGCAUAAAAACAGACACAACUACUUCUACAAAGUUCAAUGCCAGAUACUUUUCUCCCAGAAGGUCUGACUGGCACUUGGAGGUAUCUGACCUCAGGAUAAGACCCAGAUGGAGACAUUUAAAAUCACAGAAGUUUAUAAACAAUAUGGGGAAGGCAAAAUGACCGGUCAAGGGCAGGCAGAGGUUGGUGAUCCAGUGCAAAGUCCAUAAGGUACAGAACGGCAGGCAGGCAGGCAGGCAGAGGUCAGUAAUCCAGUGCAAAGUCCAUAAGGUACAGAACGUCAGGCAGAAUGGUCAAAACCAGAAAACAGGGACUAACGCAAACCGGAGUACAGAAAAACACACUGGUAGGCUUGACAGGACAAACUGGCAACAGUCAAACAGAAAACACAGGUAUAAGUACACAGGUGAUAAUGGGGAAAAUGGGUGACACCUGGAGGGGGGUGGAGACAAGCAAAAGACAGGUGAAACAGAUCAGGGUGUGACAGGAGGUGACACUGAUAAUGAAGAUGGUUUGCCUAAGACUACCACAACAAUUACAUUGUCCGCUAAAUGUGUUUAAAUUGUAAAAGAAAGAAAGAAAAGUUAGGCUGUAAGAAAUCCUUUUAUUUAAUAAGACAAGGUGCUCUCUCCUCAUGGCACAACAGAAUCAUUCAGAUUGACCAAGGCACAGCAAAUGGAAACCAUUUUGUCUAGCUGAGGGAUGUCUCCUUUAAUAUCUGGAAAAGGGCGAAAUAGUAGAAGUGGAAACUGAUGCUGCUGCAGCAUUGCUCAUCUUCACAGUGGGAAUCUGGUCGACAUGGGCUUCUUGAUAGUGUGAAAUGUGUUGAUCAAAGGCCACAUUUUCCCUGUGCAAAGGAAAGAAAAUAAACAUAUUUGAUAUAGGCUAUAGGCCUAUUUAU
ensembl:lncRNA